rnacentral:rRNA from 1 species
AUUGAACGCUGGCGGCAUGCCUUACACAUGCAAGUCGAACGGCAGCACGGGAGCAAUCCUGGUGGCGAGUGGCGAACGGGUGAGUAAAGUAUCGGAACGUGCCCAGUCGUGAGGGAUAACGUAGCGAAAGUUACGCUAAUACCGCAUACGAUCUAUGGAUGAAAGCGGGGGAUCGCAAGACCUCGCGCGAUUGGAGCGGCCGAUAUCAGAUUAGGUAGUUGGUGGGGUAAAGGCUCACCAAGCCGACGAUCUGUAGCUGGUCUGAGAGGACGACCAGCCACACUGGGACAGGUACACGGCCCGAACUCCGACGGGAGGCAGCAGUGGGGAAUUUUGGACAAUGGGCGAAAGCCUGAUCCAGCCAUGCCGCGUGCAGGAUGAAGGCCUUCGGGUUGUAAACUGCUUUUGUACGGAACGAAAAGGUUUGGCCUAAUAAGCUGAGCUCAUGACGGUACCGUAAGAAUAAGCACCGGCUAACUACGUGCCAGCCGCCGCAGUAA